rnacentral:rRNA from 1 species
ACGGGAGGCAGCAGUGGGGAAUAUUGGGCAAUGGGGGCAACCCUGACCCAGCAACGCCGCGUGAAGGAAGAAGGCUUUCGGGUUGUAAACUUCUUUUACCAGGGACGAAGAAAGUGACGGUACCUGGAGAAAAAGCUACGGCUAACUACGUGCCAGCAGCCGCGGUAAUACGUAGGUAGCAAGCGUUGUCCGGAUUUACUGGGUGUAAAGGGCGUGUAGGCGGAGAUGCAAGUCAGGAGUGAAAUCUAUGGGCUUAACCCAUAAACUGCUUUUGAAACUGCAUCCCUUGAGUAUCGGAGAGGCAGGCGGGAUUCCUAGUGUAGCGGUGAGAUGCGUAGAUAUUAGGAGGAACACCAGUGGCGAAGGCGGCCUGCUGGACGACAACUGACGCUGAGGCGCGAAAGCGUGGGGAGCAAACAGGAUUAGAUACCCUGGUA